GUUUCCCAAGCUUACAAGGAUCAGGAUUAUGCACACAGUGUUAGGGAAAUGAGUUUAUCAAGUCUAUUCUCGGUCUCUACUAUAUCAGUCCUUUUCAUCUCUUUACACAGUUCAAGCGCAGUCCCCAGUCUUGCAGAGCAAGAUGUUGGUUCCCAUGGCAACAGUCGGAACAGGAUCUACACCUCCGCAGCCAAUUUCCCUGGUGGGUCCACCCCUUCCUGUUCAAAAUGGGACUCAACCAGGAAGUAAGAUCAUUCAAAUUGCACCAAUGCCUGUGGUCCAAGCAAAUGUGCAUCCUGGAGGAUCAGUGCAUACCGGCAACUCGUUUCCUGUUUCUAUGCCAACGGCGACUGUCAUGGCCCCUGGGCCCUACCCUCCUCAGACGGUGCUCUUGACGCCACCACCUACAAGGAUCACAUAUGUCCAGUCAACUCCUGGAGUUGCAGCUCCUUUGCCAUUGGGUUCAACACCUGCAGUCUCUUCCACCCACCAGACCCCAUCAUCUGCGGGUCCAUCUUUUUUGCGAUCUCCAGUGGCGACCCUUGGCUUCACUGCAAUUGCCCCAGCCAGUCAGGCCUUGGUUCAACCUAUUGUUGCAAGUGAGUGUUAUAACUGAGAGUUCUUUCAACCAUCAACACAUAUUUAACACUGCAUGACAAACAUCAUCAAAUUUCUACCACAGGUCAGCCACCUCUCCUGGCUCAAUGCCCGCCCCCGAGUGGACUGGCACAACCUGCACAAGCCUCGACGGCCACCCGUCAACUUGUGACCGCCAUUUACCCCAGCGUCAGUUUAGCCGGAGGAGUUGUGUCAGUGACAGCCCUGCCACAAAGCACAGCAAGUUCCACAUCAGUUCCAGCAUCAUCCUCAUCGCCUCAAGAGAAGACCCCCUCAGCCGCAGCUGCGCAACCACACGCGCAGCUGCAGUCUCAGGUAAACAUGCACAUGGAAAACGAGAGAGGACCAGAAUCUAGGAAGGAGAUGGAGAAACAGAGAGACCUGGUGGUGUCAAAGGAUGGACAUCAAACGCCACCUAGCGGUUUGGAGGAAUCGGUGCAGCACACACAUAAAGGUAAAUGUAACCUCAUUCAUUUCAGUUAUUAAUUUGGCUUUAAGUUAAGGUGUGUCC
rnacentral:lncRNA from 1 species